CGCGGGGUGGAGCAGUUCGGUAGCUCGCUGGGCUCAUAACCCAGAGGUCGGAGGUUCAAAUCCUCCCCCCGCUACCA
rnacentral:tRNA from 3 species